rnacentral:rRNA from 1 species
GAUGAACGCUGGCGGCGUGCCUAAUACAUGCAAGUCGAGCGAACGGACGAGAAGCUUGCUUCUCUGAUGUUAGCGGCGGACGGGUGAGUAACACGUGGAUAACCUACCUAUAAGACUGGGAUAACUUCGGGAAACCGGAGCUAAUACCGGAUAAUAUUUUGAACCGCAUGGUUCAAAAGUGAAAGACGGUCUUGCUGUCACUUAUAGAUGGAUCCGCGCUGCAUUAGCUAGUUGGUAAGGUAACGGCUUACCAAGGCAACGAUGCAUAGCCGACCUGGGAGGGUGAUCGGCCACACUGGAACGGAGACACGGUCCGGACCCCUACGGGAGGCAGCAGUAGGGAAUCUUCCGCAAUGGGCGAAAGCCUGACGGAGCAACGCCGCGUGAGUGAUGAAGGUCUUCGGAUCGUAAAACUCUGUUAUUAGGGAAGAACAUAUGUGUAAGUAACUGUGCACAUCUUGACGGUACCUAAUCAGAAAGCCACGGCUAACUACGUG